GACGAACGCUGGCGGCGUGCUUAACACAUGCAAGUCGAACGGAAAGGCCUUUUCGGAGGUACUCGAGUGGCGCACGGGUGAGUAACACGUGGGUGAUCUGCCCUGCACUCUGGGAUAAGCCUGGGAAACUGGGUCUAAUACCGGACAGGACCGCACUUUAGUGUGUGUGGUGGAAAGUUUUUUCGGUGUAGGAUGAGCCCGCGGCCUAUCAGCUUGGUGGUGGGGUAAUGGCCUACCAAGGCGGCGACGGGUAGCCGGACGGGGAGGUUGGGCGGCCACAGUGGGACUGAGAGGAGGCCCCGACGCCGACUGGAGGCAGCUGGGGGGAAGAUUGCACCAUGGGUGCAAGCCUGGUGCAGCGACCCCGCGGGGGGGAGAGCGGCCUUCUGGUUGUAAACGCCCUUCGGCAGAGAACAAGCGUUUUGUGACGGUACCUGGAGAAGAAGCACCGGCUAACUACGUG
rnacentral:rRNA from 1 species